UAUCGCGCCGGACACGAUUGCUAUCGGAUUGAGAUUUAACAAUGCGAUUCGGACGCUCUCUGGCUGCAGAGGGCGUGGCAUACGGCUCAGGGGCGGGUAGUCAACCUGCCCUGGAGACGCGGACAAUCGCGGGAAACUGCGGCUAAUACGCGAUAGAUGACCUCCUCUGGAAGGAGAGGUCGUCCAAAGGGCUGCACGGGUAUGCUCCGUGCAUUCGCUCCAGGAUGGGACUGCGGCCGAUCAGGCUGUUGGCGGGGUAAUGGCCCACCAAACCUGUAACCGGUACGGGCUUUGAGAGAAGGAGCCCGGAGAUGGACACUGAUACAAGGGUCCAUGCCCUACGGGGCGCAUCAUGCGCGAAAACUUCGCAAUGCGCUAAACCGUGACGAGGCUUAGUCCGACUGCCUUCCCGCUGAGGGGAGCUUUUCUCGGCUGUAAAUAGGCCCGGGA
rnacentral:rRNA from 1 species